CAUGCAGUAGAACGCUGAAGAGAGGAGCUUGCUCUUCUUGGAUGAGUUGCGAACGGGUGAGUAACGCGUAGGUAACCUGCCUUGUAGCGGGGGAUAACUAUUGGAAACGAUAGCUAAUACCGCAUAACAAUGGAUGACACAUGUCAUUUAUUUGAAAGGGGCAAUUGCUCCACUACAAGAUGGACCUGCGUUGUAUUAGCUAGUAGGUGAGGUAAUGGCUCACCUAGGCGACGAUACAUAGCCGACCUGAGAGGGUGAUCGGCCACACUGGGACUGAGACACGGCCCAGACUCCUACGGGAGGCAGCAGUAGGGAAUCUUCGGCAAUGGGGGCAACCCUGACCGAGCAACGCCGCGUGAGUGAAGAAGGUUUUCGGAUCGUAAAGCUCUGUUGUAAGUCAAGAACGGGUGUGAGAGUGGAAAGUUCACACUGUGACGGUAGCUUACCAGAAAGGGACGGCUAACUACGUGCCAGCAGCCGCGGUAAUACGUAGGUCCCGAGCGUUGUCCGGAUUUAUUGGGCGUAAAGCGAGCGCAGGCGGUUUGAUAAGUCUGAAGUUAAAGGCUGUGGCUCAACCAUAGUUCGCUUUGGAAACUGUCAAACUUGAGUGCAGAAGGGGAGAGUGGAAUUCCAUGUGUAGCGGUGAAAUGCGUAGAUAUAUGGAGGAACACCGGUGGCGAAAGCGGCUCUCUGGUCUGUAACUGACGCUGAGGCUCGAAAGCGUGGGGAGCGAACAGGAUUAGAUACCCUGGUAGUCCACGCCGUAAACGAUGAGUGCUAGGUGUUGGAUCCUUUCCGGGAUUCAGUGCCGCAGCUAACGCAUUAAGCACUCCGCCUGGGGAGUACGACCGCAAGGUUGAAACUCAAAGGAAUUGACGGGGGCCCGCACAAGCGGUGGAGCAUGUGGUUUAAUUCGAAGCAACGCGAAGAACCUUACCAGGUCUUGACAUCCCGAUGCUAUUUCUAGAGAUAGAAAGUUACUUCGGUACAUCGGUGACAGGUGGUGCAUGGUUGUCGUCAGCUCGUGUCGUGAGAUGUUGGGUUAAGUCCCGCAACGAGCGCAACCCCUAUUGUUAGUUGCCAUCAUUCAGUUGGGCACUCUAGCGAGACUGCCGGUAAUAAACCGGAGGAAGGUGGGGAUGACGUCAAAUCAUCAUGCCCCUUAUGACCUGGGCUACACACGUGCUACAAUGGUUGGUACAACGAGUUGCGAGUCGGUGACGGCGAGCUAAUCUCUUAAAGCCAAUCUCAGUUCGGAUUGUAGGCUGCAACUCGCCUACAUGAAGUCGGAAUCGCUAGUAAUCGCGGAUCAGCACGCCGCGGUGAAUACGUUCCCGGGCCUUGUACACACCGCCCGUCACACCACGAGAGUUUGUAACACCCGAAGUCGGUGAGGUAACCUUUUGGAGCCAGCCGCCUAAGGUGGGACAGAUGAUUGGGG
rnacentral:rRNA from 1 species